UGAAUUCAAAUUUAAUACUAUCCAUUAUACAGUGACCCACUUGUAACCUACUGUACAGCAGAGCGACAUCCGCUUACCCACCUUUUUUUAUUUGUAUUCUUAUUAGUGCGAUGUGUCUAUGGUGAGUAUUAGGUCGAAGAAGCUUUUAUAUUAUUGUAACUUACUUGCAACGCAAUUAUUUGUAUAUCCGUGAACAAUGCGAAGUUCUGAAUGAAAUAUUUAUUAUUAUAGAUAGCAUAGCCUCAAAUUGCCUUUGCUUGUAAUAUAUUAUUUGAGAAACAACAAUUUUGAGGUAGCGAAAUCUGGCCAGUCCGGGUAACAUCAAAUAUCGAACUCGACUCGAAAAUUUUUCCAAAGUCGAGUACUCGACCAACACUAGACCAGAUAUUAGACCUAGAUCUUCCAAGUACCAGACAUAAUAUUAUACU